rnacentral:misc_RNA from 1 species
GUGAAUCAUCAAAUUUUUGAACGCAAAUUGCGCCUUUUUCGGAAGGAAUGUCUGUUUGAGUGCACCAUUUAACAAAUAAUGUGCAGCGUUUUUUGUUGCACACGUUUAUGAGCUUUCCAAGAAUAUUAAAUUUUUGGUGGCGCAUACUGCACAGCGAGAAAGUUUUUUUCAGUUCGAGUGUAGUAAAAUCUUUGCUUGGGUUGUGAAUAAAAAAAAUCACGCAUAGGGUGUGG